UGCCAGCCGCCGCGGUAAUACGGAGGGUGCAAGCGUUGUUCGGAAUCAUUGGGCGUAAAGCGGGUGUAGGCGGCUUGGUAAGUCGGGUGUGAAAGCCCUGGGCUCAACCCAGGAAUUGCAUUCGAAACUGCCUCGCUAGAGUCUCGGAGAGGGUGGCGGAAUUCCCGGUGUAGGGGUGAAAUUCGUAGAUAUCGGGAGGAACACCAGUGGCGAAGGCGGCCACCUGGACGAUGACUGACACUGAGACCCGAAAGCGUCGGCAGCAAACAGGAUCAGAUA
rnacentral:rRNA from 1 species